UGAAGUGUUGGGGUGUUGCAGUGAUAGUUGCCCUGUGUGGGAUGUGCAUAUCUGUGUGUGUGGUUUUUGUGUGUUCAUGACUUGCAGUGGAUGGGUUCAUGCAGAGAGAAAUUCAUGUCUUUUUUACUUUUUCUUUUAUUUUGCCCGAUAUCAGUUGCAAUUAAAUAGUGACAUGUUUCCAAUAGCAAAAGCUAGCAUAUUAGCUCUCUGAGCACCCUGCUGAAAAAAACAGCAUCAAACCAGCAUGGACCAGCAUGGGAAUUAUGCUGGUCUAUGCCAGGUUUAGCUGGUGGUCACCAGCAUACCAGCACCAAAACACAAUAUAUGCUGGUCAUGCUGGAAUGACCAGCAUGGGAUGCUGGUGCUAAUGCUGGUUUGGUGCUGGUUUAGCUGGUGCUAAUGCUGGUGCUGAUGCUGGUUUAGCUGGUGCUAAUGCUGGUGCUGAUGCUGGUUUAGCUGGUGUUCACCAGCAAACCAGCACCAAAACAUGCCGGUACUUGCAUAUGGUGGGCUUUAUGGGGUAGUACAGUGAGUGUGAAGUGAUCUCAUAUUGUGACCUUCAUAUGAGCACACAUUGAGUGUGCAGCGUGCUUACACAUUAAAAUCAUGACCCACACAGUGAGUAUCUUGUGAGCUCAUGGUGACUUCCCUUACGAAAAUUAACCAUGGUUUUACUACAGUUAACUUAAAACCAAAAAAGCAUGGUUACUGUAGUAAAACCAUGGUAACCACAAAAUAACCAUGGUUUUGACAACCAUGUUUUUCUAAAACCACAGAACCAUGGUUAGUGUAGCCGUUUAGUGUAGUAAAACCAUGGUCAAAGACCCGAGGUGAGGUAUACAUUAAAGGGUUAACCUGAAGUAGUAAAACCAAAAGAAAGUCAGCAUCUCUUUAGUGUCCUCACUAAUAUAAGAAAUUACUAGUUUGUCUUCCACCCAGUGCAAGCUUUUUACAUGAACCCCCAAACCCCACCCAGAAAAACACAGCACAACUUAUUAAAGUUUAUUUAAUUUAUUUUAAUGUUUGAUUGUUCUGUGAAAUACAGUGGUAAUUAAGUGCUAAAAAUCUACAAGAAUUGAAUUUGUUUCACGUUUUUUUUUUUUUUUUGCGCCACUGGGUCAAUACAACGUAGUACGCAUGUGUCUGCAGGAAGAGCCGCUUGUGCGAGUGCUCCAUACUCCAAUCCAGUAGGUGGCGGUAAAUGCACCUUAAGUUGGUUUGCCACCCACCAUUUAAACAACAAAAGAAGAAGAAGAAGAAGAAGCCGCUUGUGCGCAUGUGUCUGCAUCCAAAGGUUACCACGACAAGUUUGCGACUGAGUAAAUACAGAUACUACAGUUCGUGAUCUGGAGCUUGACUUCACAUGUUUUGUGGUGAUUAAAGGCGGAGUCCAUGAUGUUUGAAAGCCAAUGUUGAUAUUUGAAAUCACCUAAACAAACACGCCCCUACCCCAAUAGAAUCUGGACCUUCUGUUGAUAGACCCGCCACACACAUAUGCAACCCGGCAAGGAUGUCGGUUAGUAGACACGCUCCUUACUGCUGAUUGGCUAUAAGUGUGUUUUGGUAGUCGGCCCGUCUCCUUUUCCAAAGCGUUUUUCAAACAUCGUGGACUCCGCCUUUAACAAAUUGUGCGGUGCUUUUGGCAUUGUCUAUCCAUGUAUAAUUGUGAUGUUCCAGGAGUGCUAAUGGAAGCUACACAGUAUGUAGAUGUUUGUUCCAGUAUGUUUAUGUGUGUGUACCUGGUAAUUAUCACGUUGUGGGGACCGAAUGUCCCCACAAAGAUAGGAAUACCAGUAAAUUUUGACCUCGUGGGGACAUUUGUGAGGUCCCCAUGAGGAACCAAGCUUAUAAAUCAAACGGAAUGAUGUUUCUUGAAAAUCUAAGGUCGCAGAAAGUUUUCUGUGAUGGUUGGGGUAAGGGUUUGGGGAAGGGAAUAGAAUAUACAGUUUGUACAGUAUAAAAUGCAUUACGUUUAUGGAAUGUCCCCACAAAACAUGGAAACCAGAAUGUGUGUGUGUGUGUGCGUGCCAUGGAACAAAUAUUUAUUUUAUACCUUUUUGUGUGUUCUGUUUUUGACUUUUUUCCCCUGAUAUCAAGACACCAAAAUAAUGUUUUAAUACGCAUUUUCAUGUGUUUGUAAAGAAAAUAAAUGGUGUACUUCACUGUUA